rnacentral:tRNA from 1 species
UCCCUGGUGGCCUAGUGGUUAAGGAUUCUGCGUUUUCACUGCUGUGGCUCAGGUUCGAUCCCUGGCCUGGGAA